CAAGAUCGAUUUAUCAGAUUCCAUUCCAUUAGGCCACAGAAACAUAGUCUCCGCAAGCCUUUCAUUUGCACAAAAAUAAGGGAAGUACAGAUGCUUAUUUCACUCCUUUGUUGACAUCUACCGGACUCCUUUUAUCCAAAUGCAGAAUCCUGCAUAUAUGAUAGGAUGUUGCCGUUCGUUUUCCGGCUACCGUGGCUAGAGCCUGCUGCCUGCGAAGUGGUGCCAUCCAGAAAUCAAGAUCGUACCAAAAAAAUACGCCUCGGAUAAAAAAUUGUGAGAGCUCUGCUUUGUUCUGCACCUGCAUACCUGGUGUGUGCUCAUACAGCCACGCAGCCUCCAUCGCGCCACCAACUGCUGCCGGCUUCUUUGCCAUAAGGCAAAUACGUCG
rnacentral:lncRNA from 1 species